rnacentral:lncRNA from 1 species
UGGAGAGUGGUAGUAGUAUGGGGGAGGGGGUGAUUUCACUGGUGGAGGUGGAGAGUGGUAAUAGUAUGGAGGAGGUGGUGACUUCACGGGUGGAGGUGGAGAGGGGUAGUAGUAUGGGGGAGGGGGUGAUUUCACUGGUGGAGGUGGAGAAUGGUAAUAGUAUGGAGGAGGUGGUGACUUCACGGGUGGAGGUGGAGAGUGAUAGUAGUAUGGGGGAGGAGGAGACUUCACUGGUGGGGGUGGUGAGUGAUAGUAAUAUGGAGGAGGGGGUGAUUUUACCGGUGGAGGUGGAGAGUGGUAGUAGUAUGGAGGAGGAGGAGACUUCACGGGUGGAGGUGGAGAGUGGUAGUAGUACGGAGGAGGGGGAGACUUCACCGGUGGAGGUGGAGAGUGGUAGUAGUACGGAGGAGGAGGUGACUUCACGGGUGGAGGUGGAGAGUGAUAAUAGUACGGAGGAGGAGGUGACUUCACUGGUGGUGGUGGAGAGUGAUAAUAGUAUGGGGGAGGAGGUGACUUCACUGGUGGUGGUGGAGAGUGAUAGUAAUAUGGGGGAGGAGGUGAUUUCACUGGUGGAGGUGGAGAAUGGUAAUAGUAUGGAGGAGGUGGUGACUUUACUGGUGGUGGUGGAGAAGUGUAGUAGUAAGGAGCAGGUGUGGGCUCGGGUUUAGGCUUCUUACACUCCUCGUAAGGAGUUUUAGGAGCAUAAGCAAAUGGCUUAGCUUGAAGAACAACUUCAUACUUUGUCUUGGACUUAACCUUAAGCUCGGCACCCUUAUCACCCAUGUGUAGGUCAGUUGGG